GGUAAUAUGGCUGAGGCGGAAGCGGUGGGCUGUAGACCCACAGACAGGGGUUGCCCCUUGGUUACCA
rnacentral:tRNA from 1 species